rnacentral:rRNA from 1 species
AACGAACGCUGGCGGCAUGCCUAACACAUGCAAGUCGAACGAGACCUUCGGGUCUAGUGGCGCACGGGUGCGUAACGCGUGGGAAUCUGCCCUCUGGUUCGGAAAAACAGUUGGAAACGACUGCUAAUACCGGAUAAUGACUUCGGUCCAAAGAUUUAUCGACUGAGGAUGAGCCCGCGUAGGAUUAGCUUGUUGGUGAGGUAAAAGCUCACCAAGGCGACGAUCCUUAGCGGGUCUGAGAGGAUGAUCAGCCACACUGGGACUGAGACACGGCCCAGACUCCUACGGGAGGCAGCAGUGGGGAAUAUUGGACAAUGGGCGAAAGCCUGAUCCAGCAAUGCCGCGUGAGUGAUGAAGGCCUUAGGGUUGUAAAGCUCUUUUACCCGGGAUGAUAAUGACAGUACCGGGAGAAUAAGCCCCGGCUAACUCCGUGCCAGCCGCCGCAGUAAAAC